GAUGCACCCCAGACAGUGUCUGUGCUAGAGCUGGAAUAAACACCUGAGGAGGAUGAAUGCACACAGAACCUGAUGAAUUUUUACUCCAGUCUUCUUAAGAACGCUGACCCAUCCAGGGUGUACCCUGCCUCCCGAUCCAUGACAGCUGGGAUUGGUUCCCCCUGGAUGGGCGGAUGGUCCAUUUCUUUCUGCUUCCAACAGUCUUGGCACAUCCUGACUGGAAACUGCAUCUUUUCCUUUGUGCUUCCAACAUCAACAGGGGUUUCUCAAAAACAGCCUCAGGUUGAAACGCUGAGCUGGCUCCUUCCUCUUGCCCUGGAUGGAGUUCCUCCAUUUGAGCAGUCCUUCCCACUCCCGCCUUUUACCUGGAAAUAAUAUGUGUGGAGUGUGUCAGGCCGGAGGUUCCAACAGUUCUUUCCCAGAUUGUUGUCGCUGCGAUGUUACCAGCUCUGAACCUCCUCACACAUCUUACCUGGAAACCUGCUCACUUGUUGCCUCCAGAAACCCCCAGAACUACUCACCAGCCCCAUGUAAUCUGUCAAAGGAAGGACUUACCCGCUCACCUGCCUGCCCGCUCUUCAAGCGCUUUCUCCGCCACCUGUCUGAUACUCGCCAGCUACCUUCACACUCCCUCUGAGCCUCCCCUCACUUCCAACGCAACCAAGACCUCUGGUUCACUCUCAUUAUUCUCAUCAUCCUCUUGGGUUCCUGUUAAUCUCUUGUCUCCUGUCUAACAGAGCUUCCGUGUACCAGUCUAAAGUGUCUCCAACUGUCUGAACCCAUUAACAAUUCAUUCUUUCACAGUAAACAGUACGAAGCUUUCUGCUGUUGUCUGAGUCUGCUCUUUGGGCCCGCUUUUUGCCAUAAUACGACAUUGUCGCUGUGUGGACUGCCUCUACAGUGAUGAGCAUGUAAAGUCAUUAUGUUGCGUGAACCUGGUCUUUAUUUUCUCUUUGUGCGCAGCGAUGCACAACAUUCAGAAAGCACUAUGGCGGAGGAAACAAGCGUGUCAGUACACCCCACUGUUCCCCUUGUGUUUUCAGUUAACUACCGGUGCAGCACAUGCGGUUAUGCGAGUGAACAAAUACUAGUCUGCUGUUGAACUGAUGCUUCAAAGCCUAAUUUUUAGUUGUGUUAUGUUAUGUUCAAGGAGUUUCCUGGCAAAUUGCAAACCACGUUAACUCUAUCACACAUUCUGUGUAAAGAUAAUUAUGGAAAGAGGAUUAGAGGGUUUGUUACUCAGAAGACCAUUUACAGAGUUGCAGGUGUUCAUUGCAAAAUGUCGCUCUGAGGAACAUUUGUGUUUGCAUGCAAAUAAUUGUAACGACUUCUGUAUUUUUUACCUUUUCUCAUGAGCACCUUUAUCGCUCCAAUAUAGCAAAGUGGUCUGUGACCAUGUGAUGGUCCUGAGCAUUUGGCUUACACCACUGAACAUAUUUCUGAUGAGUGUGCUUACUUUCUUUCCAUCUCUUUUAUAUCCCUCUUUUAACCUUUCUUUAUUUACUCCCCUGAUCCCCUCUCCAAUUCCACCUAAACUCUGAGGCUCCCCUCAUUGCUCCUUUCUCUGUCAAAGUUAAUUGUUUUCUGUGUGCGUGUGGUUUUUUUCUUCUUUUCCCUUCAUGUUGUUUGAUUGAAUUGAGAGGACUUCUCAUCGUCACUGCUGCAGGGCUAAACAGAGAAAGGGGUGCCAGGGAUAAAGAUGGCGAGCCAGAGGGUGACUCAGUCUUCCUUAUUCCAAGACACUCACUCACUCACUCCCUCUCUCUCUGUCUCUCUCUCUCUUUCUCACACACACACACACACACACACACACACACACACACAAACACACAAACACGAGAUAACACUGAUACAAGUAGUUUAACACAUCCAGACAUGCGUUUGCAGGCCGACACAAAAUGUAAAGUGCAUUGAGGGAAAAAAAAAGUUUCAUCCUCGUGUGACCCAUGAGCCUCACUGGAAUGUCCAUGCACAAUGUGAUACACAGCUCUAUACAACGCCACACGUGCUCAUGUGCUCACCUCCACCCUCAGAAACCCCCACUUUAAUCUGUUCUCCAAAUGUUGUUUUCUUCCCUGCGGUGCUGAGCCAGU